rnacentral:rRNA from 1 species
UAGUCAACAUGCCCAGGGGACGUGGAUAACCUCGGGAAACUGAGAAUAAACCGCGAUAGGUCACAAUUUCUGGAAUGGAUUUUGGCUUAAAUCUAUAUGGCCCCUGGAUUGGACUGCGGCCGAUCAGGCUGUUGGUGAGGUAAUGGCCCACCAAACCUGUAACCGGUACGGGCUCUGAGAGGAGGAGCCCGGAGAUGGGCACUGAGACAAGGGCCCAGGCCCUAUGGGGCGCAGCAGGCGCGAAACCUCUGCAAUGGGCGAAAGCCUGACAGGGUUACUCUGAGUGAUUUCCGCUAAGGGGAUCUUUUGACACCUCUAAAAAUGGUGUAGAAUAAGGGGUGGGCAAGUCUGGUGUCAGCCGCCGCGGUAAUACCAGCACCCCGAGUGGUCGGGACGAUUAUUGGGCCUAAAGCAUCCGUAGCCGGUUCUUCAAGUCUUCCGUUAAAUCCAGCCGCUCAACGGAUGGGCUGCGGAAGAUACUAUAGGACUAGGAGGCGGGAGAGGCAAGCGGUACUCAGUGGGUAGGGGUAAAAUCCUUUGAUCCAUUGAAGA